rnacentral:rRNA from 1 species
UCCCAGACUCCUCGGGAGGCAGCAGUGGGGAAUAUUGGACAAUGGGGGGAACCCUGAUCCAGCGACGCCGCGUGAGUGAAGAAGUAUUUCGGUAUGUAAAGCUCUCUCAGCAGGGAAGAAAGAAAUGACGGUACCUGACUAAGAAGCCCCGGCUAACUACGUGCCAGCAGCCGCGGUAAUACGUAGGGGGCAAGCGUUAUCCGGAUUUACUGGGUGUAAAGGGAGCGUAGACGGCGAUGCAAGCCAGAUGUGAAAGCCCGGGGCUCAACCCCGGGACUGCAUUUGGAACUGUGUGGCUGGAGUGUCGGAGAGGCAGGCGGAAUUCCUAGUGUAGCGGUGAAAUGCGUAGAUAUUAGGAGGAACACCAGUGGCGAAGGCGGCCUGCUGGACGAUGACUGACGUUGAGGCUCGAAAGCGUGGGGAGCAAACAGGAUUAGAUACCCCCGUA